AUUGAACGCUGGCGGCAUGCUUUACACAUGCAAGUCGAACGGCAGCGCGGGCUUCGGCCUGGCGGCGAGUGGCGAACGGGUGAGUAAUACAUCGGAACGUGCCCAGUAGUGGGGGAUAGCUCGGCGAAAGCCGGAUUAAUACCGCAUACGACCUGAGGGUGAAAGCGGGGGAUCUUCGGACCUCGCGCUAUUGGAGCGGCCGAUGGCAGAUUAGCUAGUUGGUGGGGUAAAGGCCUACCAAGGCGACGAUCUGUAGCUGGUCUGAGAGGACGACCAGCCACACUGAGACUGAGACACGGCCCAGACUCCUACGGGAGGCAGCAGUGGGGAAUUUUGGACAAUGGGCGAAAGCCUGCUCCAGCAAUGCCGCGUGUGUGAUGAAGGCCUUCGGGUGGUAAAGCACUUUUGGCGGGAACGAAAAGGACUGUGCCAAUACCACGGUUCGAUGACGGUACCCGCAGAAUAAGCACCGGCUAACUACGU
rnacentral:rRNA from 1 species